CCCUUAGAUGUUCUGGGCUGCACGCGCGCUACACUGAUGCGUUCAACGAGUGUACAUCCUUGCCCGGUAGGGUUGGGUAAUCUUCUGAACACGCAUCGUGAUGGGGAUAGAUUAUUGCAAUUAUUAAUCUUCAACGAGGAAUUCCUAGUAAUGGUGAAUCAUCAGUUCAUCGUGAUUACGUCCCUGCCCUUUGUACACACCGCCCGUCGCUCCUACCGAUUGAGUGGUCCGGUGAGGCUUUGGGAUCUGAGCGGAAAGAGCGUUUCGCUGUUUCUGCUCGGAAAACUCAGUCGAACCUUAUCAUUUAGAGGAAGGAGAAGUCGUAACA
rnacentral:rRNA from 1 species